rnacentral:rRNA from 1 species
UACGGGGGGGGUAAGCGUUGUUCGGAAUUACUGGGCGUAAAGGGCUCGUAGGCGGCCAACUAAGUCAGACGUGAAAUCCCUCAGCUUAACUGGGGAACUGCGUCUGAUACUGGAUGGCUUGGAUUUGGGAGAGGAAUGCGGAAUUCCAGGUGUAGCGGUGAAAUGCGUAGAUAUCUGGAGGAACACCGGUGGCGAAGGCGGCAUUCUGGACCGACAUUGACGCUGAGGAGCGAAAGCCAGGGGAGCAAACGGG